CCACGCCCCCUCCAAAACGCGUCACCCCCGCCUAUAUAAGCGCCGCGUCGCCUUCCCACAAUCCCUUUCGUUUGGUCGCUGUCGUCGCCAGGACCAACUUGGCAAGAUGCGGGCCAAGUGGCGAAAGAAGCGCAUGCGCAGGCUGAAGCGUAAAAGGAGGAAGAUGAGGCAGAGGUCCAAGUAAACCUGCCAAUGCUUCGCCACACGCUGUCCGACCACGGAGCCCAAGGCUUGGGGCGGCGCUGGGUGUGAUGAAACGAGGAUGAACCAAGCUGCCCGAGGUCUUCCCACUGCCAAGGGCUGCCCAAGCGCUCGCCGUGUGGGGCUGUACAUCGACCUCUGAGCAUCAGUGAUGGAGGACGCCCUCCAUUCUGCUUGAUGUUUCAGAGCGGGACCUUUUCCAACACUCCCGGGCAACACCCCCCCCCUCCCUUUGCCUUGGACUAUCCAUGUUAUGACUCCUGUGUGAUAUAGUUGCCAAUAAAAGCUGGUUAACUGUU